rnacentral:rRNA from 1 species
UACGAAGGGGGCUAGCGUUGUUCGGAAUUACUGGGCGUAAAGCGUGCGCAGGCGGUUCUAUAAGUCAGAUGUGAAAUCCCCGGGCUCAACCUGGGAACUGCAUUUGUGACUGUAGAGCUGGAGUACGGCAGAGGGGGAUGGAAUUCCGCGUGUAGCAGUGAAAUGCGUAGAUAUGCGGAGGAACACCGAUGGCGAAGGCAAUCCCCUGGGCCUGUACUGACGCUCAUGCACGAAAGCGUGGGGAGCAAACAGG